rnacentral:lncRNA from 1 species
AUGUGUUUUGCCCCAUUUGAAAUAAAAUGUGUUUUGAGACAUCUUGUGCUUUCCGGACAUAUGGAGUUAGAUAUGUUCAACAGUGCAAUUCUUGGAUUCCCUUACCCUUCUGGGGAUGUGAGGGAUAAGCCUUGUCCCAUAUCUGUCAGUACUUUGUCAUCAAAUGACAAUAAGCUUAAGCAGUCUUCUGGGCAGAUGUUGGUUUUACUUAAGAUUCUUCCAUUUCUUAUUGACAAUGUUGGAGAAAGUGACUACAUUAACCUGCUGAUUGAGUUGUUAGAGAUAGUCAAAAUAUUGUUUUCACCCAUCAUUGCUCUUUCAACCCUCGAAAGAUUGAAGCUUUUAAUAGAGCGCCAUCUGAAACAUUUUAAACAACUGUUUCCAGAUAUAAAUAUCAUUCCUAAACAGCACUACCUUCUGCAUCUUCCUUCUCAAAUACAACUUCUUGGCCCACCAGUGAGGCAUGUGUGCAUGCGCUUUGAAUCAAAACACUGCUUUUUCAAACAGUGGGCAUUGAAAAGUAAUUUUAAGAAUAUCUGCAAGUCUCUUGUUAAGCACAAUCAGCUAUAUGAAUGCAGUCUAAAUGGAUUUAAUGAUAAACAUCCAAUUAUUUCUCACGAGGUAGAUGUGGGUCCACUCUCAGAGGUAAAAAAUAUAAAUUAUCUGAAAGAAAGGAUGGUGGCUUUCCUUGGAAUAGACCAAGUUCAACAUGCAGUUUCUGUUCAGUGGAUUUUGCUACAUGGAAAUAAGUAUUCAUGUGGGAAAUCAUUAAUUAUUUCUGAUUUUGUCAAUAAUUUUCCAGAGUUUGCAUUGGUAAAACACAUAUAUAUUGUUAAUUCGUCUGUCUAUUGCUUUGAAUGCCAGCCUCUUUUAACAAUUGAUUGGAGGGAUAAAUACUUGUCUUACGAGGUUGAGGUCCCCAACCAAGCUCAGGCCAACGUUUUUGUGAAUGCAGAAAGUCUUGUUGAUUAUACAUCAUAUUACUAUUUGACCUUCAAACAAAGCAAAUAUGUUCCAGUAAAAUAUGAUCUCUCAGAUACCUUUGCACAUUAUUCACUCAGAAGAAAUCAAUAA